CGCGUAGGCGGUUCGCUAAGUUGAAUGUGAAAACUCUGGGCUUAACCCAGAGCCUGCAUUCAAUACUGGCGGGCUAGAGUUCUGGAGGGGAUAGCGGAAUUCCUGGUGUAGCGGUGAAAUGCGUAGAUAUCAGGAGGAACACCGGUGGCAAGGGCGGCUAUCUGGACAGAGUCUGACGCUGAGGCGCGAAAGCUAGGGAGCAAACA
rnacentral:rRNA from 1 species